rnacentral:rRNA from 1 species
GGUUUGAUCAUGGCUGCUCAGAUUGAACGGCGGGAUGCUUUACACAUGCAAGUCGGAGACAGCGGCACGGACUUCGGUGGUGGCGAGUGGCGAACGGGUGAGUAAUGUAUCGGAACGUGCUAGUAGCGGGGAUAACUACGCGAAAGCGUAGCCAGCUGCGCUACGCCCUUCGAAGCGGGGACCUUCGACCUCGCACUAAUGCGACGGCCGAUAUCGGUUAGCUGGAUUGGUGGGGUAACGGCUCACCAAGGCGACGAUCCGUAGCUGGUUUGAGAGGACGACCAACCACCACUGGGACUGAGACACGGCCCAGACUCCUACAGGAGGCAGCAGUGAAAUUUUGGACAAUGGGAAGCCUGAUCCAGCCAUCCCGCGUGCGAUGAAGGCCUUCGGGUUGUAAGCACUUUUGGCAGAAAGGCAGCGCGGGAUAAUACCCGUGCAGCGUGACGGUACCUGCGGGCUUAAGCACCGGCUAACUACGUGCCAGCGGCCGCGGUAAUACGUAGGGAUUGCAAACGUUAAUCGGAAUUACUGGGCGUAAAAGCGUGCGCGAGCGGUUCGGAAAGAAAGAUGUGAAAUCCCAGGCUUAACUUGGAACUGCAUUUUUUUUAACUGCCGAGCUAGAGUGUGUCCCGGAGGAGGUGGAAUUCCGCAGUAGCCUUGAUGAAAUGUGUAGAUAGCGGAGGAACACCGAUGACAGAAGGCGACCUCCUGGGGAUAACACCUGACGCUCAUGCAGAAAGCGGCAGGAGCAAACAGGAUUAGAUACCCUGGUAGUCCACGCCCUAAACGUGUCGCUAAGCUGUUGCGAGGCCUUCGAGGCCUUGAGCGAAGCGCAACUAACGCGUGAAGUUGACCUUAGGAGAUGCGGUCGCAAGAUUAAAACUCAAAGGAAUUGACGGGGACCCGCACAAGCGGUGGAUGAUGUGGAUUAAUUCGAUGCAACGCGAAAUCUUUACCCUUGACAUGUCUGGAAUCCCGAAGAGAUUUUGGGAGUGCUCGCAAGAGAACCGGAACACAGGUGCUGCAUGGCUGUCGUCAUCGUGUCGUGAGAUGUUGGGUUAAGUCCUGUAGGCUUACAACCCUUGUCAUUAGUUGCUACGAAAGGGCACUCUAAUGAGACUGCUGGUGACAAACCGGAGGAAGGUGGGGAUGACGUCAAGUCCUCAUGGCCCUUAUGGGUAGGGCUUCACACGUCCUUCUAAUGGUCAGGACGGGGGUCGCCAACCUUGCGAGGCAAUCCCAGAAACCCGAUCGUAGUCCGGACCGCAGUCACAGCUCGACUUCUGCGAAGUCCCGGAAUCGCUGGUAAUCGCGGAUCAACUGUCGCGGUGAAUACGUUCCAUGGGUCUUCGUACACACCGCCCGUCACACCAUGGGAGUGGAGUUUUACCAAAGUAGUUAACCUAACCGUAAGGAGGGCGAUUACAGUAGGAUUCAUGACUGGGGUGAAGUCAUGUAAGGUAACUCUGUUACUACCUGAGUAUCUA